CAGGAAUUAAGUAUUAAGUACUUGCUUAGGACUUUGAAGGUCCUUGGUCUGGGUUAACCUAAAUUCCU
rnacentral:tRNA from 1 species